GAGGAACUGCCCGGGCGCGGUAGCGUACGGGAAGACCGGAGAGGAGCUGCGUCUCUGCCCCGUGGGAGCCGGCGGGGCGGCGGGGCGGCGGCUGCAGCUGCAGCUCCGGCGCGAGGGCUCCCUUGCCGGGCCCUCUUCCCCGACCCCUGGGGCGCUCCGACAAGGAAGAGCCGUCCAGCGCGCGUCCGUCCUGAGCGUGGGCCUAGAACCAAUUACAGAGUCAAACCCAAGAGCCGAAGAAAGUGAAGACUCGCAGCUUGCCGCAGCCCCCUCCUCGGCCUGCGCACCUCCCAUUGAGGGCGUCCUGAUUUAAACGCGUGCCUCCUGCAUUUCUGCUUCUGCCCCAGGCUAGAGCGGCGACCAGGAACGCUGGACCCACAGAGAUCUGUGGCAAUGUCUGUCGAACCAUGGUGUUCUUUGGGGCAUCUGACUAGAGUAUUGUUUGAUAACCAGAAAGAAAUCAAAAAUUGGUGAUCACAAGGCUAAUGUCACUUUUGCUGCAGUGGAAAAUCAUGAUCAUUCUGUUUAAAUCUGAGUCAGUUUUGAGACCUAGAGCCCAUUAAUUGACAAGGAGGCUUGGUUCCUCUCAGGAAGGAUCUUACAAUACCAGCAUCUGAGCAUAUACCAAGAAAUAUUCCUCCAAUCCUUCCCUAAAGGGACCUAGAGCCACUUUAAAAAGUAACUGGUCCGGGCGUGGUGGCUCACGCCUGUACUCCCAGCAUUUUGGGAGGCCGAGGCGGGCAGAUCACUUGAGGUCAGGAGUUUGAGACCACCCUGGCCAACAUAGCGAAACCCCGUCGCUACUAAAAAUACAAAAAUUAGCCGGGUUUGGUGGCUUGUGCCUGUAAUCCCAGCUACACGGGAGGCUGAGGCGUGACAAUCCCUUGAACCCAGGCCUUGUUGCCGCGAGCCACUGCACUCCAGCCUGAGCGACAGAGUCAGACUCAGUCUCAAAAAAAAAAAAAAAAAAAAGAAAACUGAUUCUGGCUGGGGGCAGUGGGUCACGCUUUUAAUCCCUGCACUUUGGGAAGCCGAAGUAGGAGGAUCGUUUGAGCCCAGGAGUUUGAGACCAGCCUGGGCAACAUAGCAAGAACCUGUCUUUACAAAAAUUAAAAGAUUAGCUGGGCGUGGUGGCAGGUGCCUGUGGUUCCAGCUACUCUGGAUGCUGAGGUGAGAGAAUCACUUAAGCCCAGGAGGUCAAGGCUGCAGUGACCUGUGUUCACGCCACUGCACUCCAGCCUGAGCAACACAGCAAGACUGUCUGAACAGCAACAACAAACACACCAAAAAAACUAGUUUACUUCGGAAAAGGGACUGUCUAGGUCUUUGAAGGGCUGAUACAGGAUCUGAGCUGACACUGUUUCCAGGAGCCCUGAAGCAUCAUGGCCCUCUCAUUAGGGUGCAGGCUUAUGGAAAUCAGAUGAUAAGCAGAAUUCCCAACCCGAGUCCUGUGGUUACUUCUCUGGUCUCAAUGCAUACUUGGGAUGUUUUUACCUAGCAGAGGGCGGAGCGUAUACAUUGAUCCCAGGCCUUUGGUACCAUAUGUAAGGAAGCGCAAAGUAGAAACCUUUGAAACUCCUCACCCUACUGAAACCUUUCCAAGAUAGUAAGUCAGAAACAAUGCUGCAUUCCAGGUGUAAUUGCAGAGGUAUUUCGCCCUCAAAGACUUAUAAAGCAGUGGUUACCGUUUCAUCCCUUCAAUUAACCUGAAUGGCUCCUGCUAAAUCUUGGUGGAUUCAAGUAAAUGAUGAUGCCCUGCACAAACUUAGCCAAGUCGUGUCCCCGAUCACACAGCUGUGCUAGGUGUGGUAUCUUUACUGGAACCGAUAAAUGCACCUCUGGCUCUUGAUAAUGCAUUGGACAUGGUGAAGAAGGCCGUGCAUGUCAGAGGAUGAGCGAGAAGCCCUCAGAAGUUCUGGAGCCUGCCAUAUCAGUGACAUUCUCAGGGGUGCAGCGUUUGAGGGCAAGCCAGGGACAAGUUAUUGCAUCCUGCAUCCUUACAAGGAAGAAAGAGGCACAGCAUUGAGGCACCUCUGUGUUUUGGAGUCAGCAUGCACCGCGCUAGAGGAUACCUCUCUGACCCCUUUAUUGGGUAACGGGAAAACUGCCAGCUUUGAGUGGGGCCCAGAGAAAAAGAGGGCUCUGCUAAAGAUUUGGAUUGGGAGAUGGGCUUCCCUGCUGCAUAGAUCCAAUGGGUUACCGGGGGGCUUAUUUGGGGUAGGAAGGACCCUAUAUGGCAUCUCUGGCAAACUCCAACGGAAGAGUUGCAGUACACUGUCCUAGAGUUCUUGGACAAGACCAUGCCUUCUGCAGCAGAGAACUACUCGCCAAGUGAGAGCAGUAUCAGGCACACUACCAGACCCAGGGUCCCAGGCCAGCAUCACUAUCCAGGAGCUUCAGGCAUGCUCCGUGUACCAACAUGGGAUCACGAAUCACAUCGCCUCAGGCCAAGAAAGCCAUUUUAUAGCGAAAGAGCCUUAGGAUCUGCUGGAUUAGAGCCUGUUUCCCAGGUAGGAACGCUUCCACGAGGGCACUCCUGCUGGUUGCAGGAAGGAUACCUCUGCUGAGCCUGAAUCUGCAAAGACCACCAGGUUACUCUCAGCUCCUCAUACUGGUGGACCAGCAGGCCACAAAGGAGGGGAUACUUGAUCCUGAUAAACGGUUAUGCUUGUUUGCUGAUGGAAAUGAUCCAGAAGAGAAGGACAAGUUGACGAUUGAGAGGGUUAAUGUCAGGUAAGAAACUUGAGUGGACAUUGAGGAAAGAGCGAGGUUCAGUGGACUGGAGGUUUGUGGUGGUUUCAUGACACGUGGACUGGAGAUUUGCAGUGGUUUUAUGACACAUGGACUGGAGGUUUGUGGUGGUUUCAUGACACAUGGACUGCAGAUUUGCAGUGGUUUUAUGACACAGCUCCUAAGUUCUUUGACACUCUUCCCAUGGAGGGGUAGGGUCUGUGACCCCCCUCUUGAAGCUGGGUAGGCUUGCAACUGCUUUGGCCAAUAGUCACAGCAGCAGUGAUGCUGUAGGACUUACAAGGUUAGACCAGAAAAGGGCAUGCCCUCCAAGGAUCCUUACUCUGAUGGGAACCAGCCAUCAUGUAGAAACUCUACCCUUGGCUGGGUGCGGUGGCUCACGCCUGUAGUCCUAGCAUUUUGGGAGGCCGAGGUGGGCGGAUCACCUGAGGUCAGGAGUUCCAGACCAGCCUGGCCAACAUGGCGAAGACCCGCCUCUACUAAAAAUACAAAAAAAAAAUGAGCUGGGCGUGCUGGCAGGCACCUAUAAUCCCAGCUACUCGGGAGGCUGAGGUAGGAGAAUCACUUGAACCCAGGAGGUGGAGGUUGCAGUGAGCCAAGAUCACACCACUGCACUCCAACCUGGGUGACAGAGCGAGACUCUUGUCUCCAAAAAAAAAAAGAAAAGAAAAGAAACUACCCUGAGACCACGAUGCAGGAGAGCCCAGUGGAUAUGCUGGUGACAGCCGCAGCAGAGCCCCCAGCUCACACUCAGCAUCCACUGCCAACCUUCUGAAUGAACCAUCUCAGACCUCGAGCCAGGCUUACCUCCAACUGCAACCAAACCUCAAAAGAGACCCAGGCAAGAACUUCCCAUUGGAGUCCUUCCUGAAUUUCCACCCUCAAAACAAACAAUUGUAAAUAACAACUUAAUUGUUUUAAUCCACUAAAUUUGAGGAUAAUUUGUUACACAGUAAUAGUAAUUGAAGCACAUUUCUUAUGGAGUUAAAAAAAAAAAAAAAGGCUUGACACAGUGGCUCACGCCUGUAAUCCCAGCACUUUGGGAGGCUGAGGUGAGUGGAUUGCUUGAGCUCAGGAGUUUGAGACCAGGCUGAGCAACAUGAUGAAACCCUGUCUCUACAAAAAAUAAAAACAUUAGCCAGGUGUGGUGGCACACAUCUAUAGUCCAACUACUCUGAGGAAUGAAGUGGGAGAAUUGCUUGAACCUAGGAGGCAGAGGUUACAGUGAGCUGAGAUUGCACCACUACAUUCCUGCCUGGGUGACAGAGCAAGACCCUGUCUCAAAAAAAAAAAAAAGUGGGUAUUGUAGUAAUGCAGCAAGAGACCAAGAAAAGUAGGAGGUAGUGAUCAGAGACCUGGCUGCAUAAAAAUGAAGAUUCGGGAAAUGGUGGCGUUAGGACUUCACCAUGGUGAAGGUAGAACUCUUAAUUUUCAUCUUUAUUAAAUGUGUCUGUUUGCAGUUUUAACCAUUGGCAUAUUUAUUUUGUGUUUGUGAUUUCUGUGAAAUAUGAGUACAAUAAAUACUGAUAGUUUGCAUUUGUUUUCUAAUCUCUCAGAAAGUUGUCAGAAAAUGUUCUCUGACUUUUUAGAAUUGCUGUGGUCAGGACUGUGGAAGCUGUUGCGAUUCCAACUCUCCCUUCUAAGUCCAAUCAAUUUUGUGCUUUGUAAUGUCUAUGCCAUUCGUGCACCAUAGAGGGAAGAAAGCGUUAAAAUGGUCGCGUCACAACAUCUUGAUUUGUCAUUGAAG
rnacentral:lncRNA from 1 species